rnacentral:lncRNA from 1 species
UAUUUUGUUGCAGGUAAGUACCGACUGUUGUUACGGAGAGAGCAGGUUCACAAGCUUGCCUGUAACCACCUGCUCACCCCAGAUAUCAGUGUUACACCUAUGAACACAUCAGAGACAGCUUGGUGUUGGACUGCACAAGAUUACUCGGAAGGGGAAUGCAAAGUCGAACAACUGGCUGUAAAGGUCAAGACGAUUGAUCUGGCAAAAGAAUUCAAGCAGAAAGUGGAUGAAGUACAGGCAUUGCAACAAGAAGAAUCCUAGUGACUUAGUUUGAAAUUAUUAACAGUGUAGUGAAACUGGUG